CUCGGGUACUAUGAGCUCUAACU
rnacentral:siRNA from 1 species